UACGUAGGGGGCAAGCGUUGUCCGGAUUUAUUGGGCGUAAAGAGCGUGUAGGCGGCCGUACAGGUCAGCUGUGAAAACUCGAGGCUCAACCUCGAGACGUCGGUUGAAACCGUACGGCUAGAGUCCGGAAGAGGAGAGUGGAAUUCCUGGUGUAGCGGUGAAAUGCGCAGAUAUCAGGAAGAACACCCGUGGCGAAGGCGGCUCUCUGGGCCGUAACUGACGCUGAGGAGCGAAAGCUAGGGGAGCAAACAGG
rnacentral:rRNA from 1 species